rnacentral:lncRNA from 1 species
GCUCUCUUCUCUCUCUCUGUCCUGCUCUGCCAUGGUAGAUGUGCUUGCUUUCCCUUUGCCUUCUGCCAUGAUUGUAAGUUUCCUAAGGUUUUCCAGCCAUGCUUCCUGUACAGCCUGCAGAACUGCUCUUUCCUUUAUAAAAUACCCAGUCUCAGAUCGUGUAGACUUCAAUUGGCAGAGUUACUCAGUAUUAUUUACUUGGAAAAUCCUCUGUAACCUAAAAGUCCUAGCUCUCCUGACACUAAGGAUGACAAUGGAACACUUAAAUGGUAGCUGCCUAUGAAGGGCUGUCCCUCUACCCCCUUGUUCCCUCUGAAUCUGAAGCUAUUAGCCACUUACAAUCUUAAUAAACUAAAAUUUUUUUGGAUA